rnacentral:rRNA from 1 species
UAGGGAAUCUUCCGCAAUGGACGAAAGUCUGACGGAGCAACGCCGCGUGAACGAUGAAGGCUUUCGGGUCGUAAAGUUCUGUUGUCAGGGAAGAACAAGUACCGGAGUAACUGCCGGUACCUUGACGGUACCUGACCAGAAAGCCACGGCUAACUACGUGCCAGCAGCCGCGGUAAUACGUAGGUGGCAAGCGUUGUCCGGAAUUAUUGGGCGUAAAGCGCGCGCAGGCGGUUCCUUAAGUCUGAUGUGAAAGCCCCCGGCUCAACCGGGGAGGGUCAUUGGAAACUGGGGAACUUGAGUGCAGAAGAGGAGAGCGGAAUUCCACGUGUAGCGGUGAAAUGCGUAGAGAUCGGAAAGAACACCAACGGUGAAAACACUCUGCUGG